GAUAUACUCAGACUAUUUUGUGUUACAGCUUUCCCUAAUGUCAUUGGUGCGCUGGACUGCACACAGAUCCGCAUUAAACGCCCCUCAGAGGCCCAGGAGGGAGAUUGUGUCAACAGAAAAUCCUUCCACAGUAUCAAUGUUCAGAUGAUCUGUGAUGCUGCCUGCAUCAUUGCCAAUGUGGAGGUAAAGUGGCCUGGGUCCGUCCAUGACUCCCGAGUUUUUAGGUCCAGUACCGUUUCCCAGCGACUAUCACAAGUGAAUUCUUUGGCGUUUUGCUGGGAGACAAGGGUUAUGCCUGUGAGACAUACCUUCUCACUCCCCUUGCAGACCCUCAAACAGCAGCACAGCAAG